rnacentral:rRNA from 1 species
GAUGAACGCUGGCGGCGUGCCUAAUACAUGCAAGUCGAGCGGCAGCACGGUCUUCGGACUGGUGGCGAGCGGCGGACGGCUGAGUAACGCGUAGGAACAUGCCCCAAAGUGAGGAAUAACUGCCCGAAAGGGUGGCUAAUGCCGCAUGUGGUCUUCGGACUAAAGCUUUAUGCGCUUUGGGAGUGGCCUGCGUCCGAUUAGCUUGUUGGUGAGGUAAUGGCUCACCAAGGCGACGAUCGGUAGCUGGUCUGAGAGGAUGAUCAGCCAGACUGGAACUGAGAACGGUCCAGACUCCUACGGGAGGCAGCAGUAGGGAAUUUUCCACAAUGGGCGAGAGCCUGAUGGAGCAACGCCGCGUGCAGGAUGAAUGCCUUCGGGUUGUAAAGUACUUUCAGCGGGGAGGAAGGGAGUAAAGUUAAUACCUUUGCUCAUUGACGUUACCCGCAGAAGAAGCACCGG